rnacentral:tRNA from 1 species
AGGGGCGUGGCGCUAUGGUGGGGAACUCUGCAAAGGUUCUUUAGGUAAUUUAUUACCCUCGUCUU